rnacentral:rRNA from 1 species
GCCGAACGGCAGGCCUUACCGGUCUCGCUGAAUGUGGCGUUUGGGAGAGUCUUCUCGCGAGAUGGACGGCCAGUCAAAGUCCAACUUGACUGUGGCCAUUGCCCGUAGAAGGUGAUAGGCCUGUAAGGCGGCUGUCCUCUCGCGCCGACUUUUCCCUAGAGUCGGGUUGCUUGGGAGUGCAGCCCAAAGCGCGAGGUAAACUCCUCGUAAGGCUAAAUAUGACCACGAGACCGAUAGCAAACAAGUACCGUGAGGGAAAAUUGAAAAGAACUUUGAAGAGAGAGUUCAAUAGUACGUGAAACUGUCUGGUGGUAAACGGAGGGUUUCUCGAAGUUGGCGAGGGGGACUCAACCUUGGUGGCGGAUCGGCCUCGGCGCGGUAGAUCAGCGAUGACUCCGCGUCGGGCUCGGCUCGUCUCCCGGGCGCAUUUUCUCCUCGCUUUACGGCAGGAACCGUUGACGUCGGACCUAAGGCCCGGGGAGAAGUUGUCGGUUCUGCUGGCAGCCCUCGGUGUCCUGGCUCCGCGGUCGACGGGUACCCGAGCGAACUCGUACAGCGAGCGUCUCGUCUGACGCGGUUCGCGAUUCUCUGCCGAGUAGGUCGGCGGACCCUCCGACCCGUCUUGAAACACGGACC